AUUGGCUGCCUCUGCGGCCGCGCUGCCUUGUGAGGUGUAGGCCGGGGAGCGGGAGGCACCGCCUCCGUUCCGGCCCCGCCGUCUUUGGAGGGGGAAAGCCGGUGGACCCUGGUGGCCUGGCGAGCAUUUUCUCGGCUUCUAUGGGCUGGAAUGGCGGUGGUUCUUAAAGGGCGCGAGAGAGUGGUCGUUGUCUUCCGUUCUUUGCCACUUCACCUGACCGGACACCUGAAGCUCUGCCACGCAGAAUCCUGUUUCUCGGACCGACUCGUAUGUACGUGCGUGUGGUCAAAAGUGCUUGGAAAGCUUGGAGGACGUCUCUCCGCCGUCAGCUUUGUCGCUAACCAAGUGCGGUGCGCCUGCGUGUAUCGUGGCUUCGCGAACAAAAGUUCAGAAUCCUGGCCUCUAGGUCUGGAUCAGGAGCUUCGCCGAGGCUGGAGCCGAUCGGCUGCGCUGGACUGAAGGAGGGUUUCCUGUCGUUUCAGUGUUACUGUGGGUUCACUGUGGCUCUGGGACUUGAAGGGUUGUCUGAGGUUGGAGACCCAAGGUAGCAGACACUGAGAGAAACAAUAAAUGGGACCUCCUGCAACUGAGAAGCUUCUAUAAACCGAAGGACACGGUCAGCAAGACAAAAUGAUAGCCAAAGAAUGGAAAAAGACCUUCACUAACCACAAGUGAGUGAACUGAAGGACAUGCCAGAGAGAGUGGGACAUUUGUGCCCUAAACCUUUAAGAAGCAUUUUUUGCCAGAGAACUCUCAACAGAGGAAUCUAAAAAAUGGCUGAAAGACACGUGAGGAUAUGAUCAGCAUCCUUAGCCAUGAGAGAAAUGCAAAUCAAAACAACUGAAAAUCCAUCUUAUACCUGUAAGAAUGGCCAAGAUAAAAAAACAGUGAUGACAACUUAUGCUGGAGAGGAUGUGGGGUAAAGGGAACACUCCUCCAUUGCUGGUGGGAGUGCAAACUGGUACAGCCCCUUUGGGUAUCAGUAUGACAAUUUCUCAGAAAAUCAGGAAACAACCUACCCCAAAGAGCUAGCUAGCACUACCACUUUUGGGUAUAUACCUAAAGGAUGCUCAAUCGUGCCACAAGGAAGUGUGCUCAGCUUAUGUUCACAGCAGCACUGUUUGUCAUAGCCAGAACCUGGAAACAACCUAAAUAACCCUCAACCAAGGAAUGGUUAAGGAAAAUAUGCAUAAAAGUGACUUUUAGACAUAAAGCAAAGAAAAGCCACCCUUCAAUUCACAAUCCCACAGAACCUAGACAACAUAGAGGAACCUAAGAGAGAUAUAUACGGAUCUAAUUGACAUGGUAAGUAAAAAAAAAAGACAAGAUCUGAGUAAAUUGGGAACAUGGGAGAGGGUAGAACAUGAGGGGAGAGGAUGGGAGGAGUGGAGAAAAAUAUAUAGCUCAAUAAAAACAAAAAUCAG